rfam:Triticum aestivum genome assembly, contig: Triticum_aestivum_CS42_TGACv1_scaffold_321123_4BL
GGUUCUGUAGCUCAGUUGGUUAGAGUUUCCGUCUGAUAUACGGAAGGUCAUGGGUUCAAGUCCCAUCGGGACCA